rnacentral:lncRNA from 1 species
AUGCAAACUCGAGUGCAUUUCUUGUUUUUCCUCCUUCCCCUUGAGAGAUGGCGGCCCUCGCUGGGCCGCACCCCACCCCGCGCAGACGCGGAAGGAGACAGCACCCUCCAGCCUCGUCAGGAAUGGGCAAACCUGACCCCAGAUGAGAAAACUGAGCUGCAAAGAGCUAGAGUGGCUGGUCCCGGUUUAGAGAGAACAUAUGCCCAAAACGUUAACUCGGGAGGAAACGGAAGGAGCACCGGAACACGAGUCCGAGAGCCUGGGUCCAGGCCAGCCCUGCCCUGCGGGGAGACCCACAGCCUCGUGGGGCCAUCUGGCUCCUGCCCCAACGGUGAGUCCACUGUCCCCCGCUCUGGAUCGAGCAUCAUCCACAAGAGGUUGGAGAAGGGAGCAGGGUCGGGCAAGCUCAGCCAGGAGACACCAGUGAGUUCCGAGCCCCAGAGACAGUAGGAGAGGCUGAGGCCCAGAGUGCCAGUGGGGAGUGGGGGUGUCAGAGGGCCGCGCACUAGAAUCUGGGACGAGGUGACGCAUUGUUUGAGAACCUGGGUGCCCCGUGCUGGGUGCUCUCCAUUGCGUUUUCUCCUGCGAAGGAGAAGUAGCAUGUGGGUGGGGGGUAGAGGGAGUGUCACGGAUGUUAACGUCAUCAGGGCAGCUGGUGACAGGCUUCCCGCACACGCCCGAGAGCCAGAAUGUGCUCCCGUGGGGCCCUGGAGCCUUUGGUUCUUGGCAGAGGAUGCUGCCCGGGCCAACAAUGUGCCAGGCCCCGUGCUGAGGGGUCUCAGAGCUGAGCAGGGGGGCCCUGCCCCGAGGAUUCGUGGUGGGAGAGCUGAGGCCAGAAGAAGUGUCGUUCUCGGUGGACAAGGGGGCCCGUGCUCCAAGUCACAUGGGCGGGCGUCUCAGGGCUGGGGGCCCCACCACCAGGGGUCAGCUUCCGGACAGAGGGCAAGGUCAGUCCCAGAACUCUGCCCGCUGGGCUGUGCCGAGACCCCAGAGGGGAAGGUUUGAGUCGGGGGAGUGGGGGGUCCCCAUCCCCAAGCCCCUUGUGUCUCAGAUUUCAGGAUGCAAAUAGGGGAUUGGGAGGGGGGUAACUCCUGGUUUAAAAUUCAGGUUCCGGGGCCGGCCCAGUGGUGCAGAAGCUACGUUUGCACAUUCUGCUUCGGCGGCCCGGUGUUCACCGGUUCGGAUCCCGGGUGCGGACAUGGCACCACUUGGCACGCCAUGCUGUGGUAGGUGUCCCACAUAUAAAGUAGAGGAAGAUGGGCAUGGGAUGUUAGCUCAGGGCUAAUCUUCCUCCCAAAAAAAUGCAGGUUCCCAGGCCCCAUCCCAGAGGCUGUGGUUCAGCCAGUCUGGGCUCAGGCCCAGGAAUCUGCAUUUGACCAGCAAGCCAGGUGACCCUAGUGCAGCAGGCCCAGCAUUGCCCAGUCCUGUACUGGUGGAGAGCUCCAGCUCU